rnacentral:rRNA from 1 species
GUAACGCGUGGGAACCUACCUAGAGGUGCGGAAUAGCCCAGGGGAAACUUGGAGUAAUACCGCAUAAGCCCGCAAGGGGAAAGAUUUAUCGCCUUUAGAUGGGCCCGCGUCUGAUUAGCUAGUUGGUGAGGUAAUGGCUCACCAAGGCGACGAUCAGUAGCUGGUUUGAGAGAAUGACCAGCCACACUGGGACUGAGACACGGCCCAGACUCCUACGGGAGGCAGCAGUGGGGAAUCUUGGACAAUGGGGGCAACCCUGAUCCAGCCAUGCCGCGUGAGUGACGAAGGCCUUAGGGUUGUAAAGCUCUUUUUGGCGGGGACGAUAAUGACGGUACCCGCAGAAUAAGUCCCGGCUAACUUCGUGCCAGCAGCCGCGGUAAUACGAAGGGGACUAGCGUUGUUCGGAAUUACUGGCGUAAAGCGCACGUAGGCGGAUUGUUAGUCAGGGUGAAAUCCGGGGCUCAACCUCGGAACUGCCUUUGAUACUGCAAGUCUUGAGUCCGGAAGAGGUGAGUGGAAUUCCGUAGUGUAGAGGUGAAUUCGUAG